UUAAGUUCAGCGGGUAGUCCUACCUGAUUUGAGGUCAAAUUGUCAAGGUAUUGUCCUUGCGGACGGUUAGAAGCGAGUCUGAACCUCGUCCACGGCGUAGAUAAUUAUCACACCAAUAGACGGAAGUUCAGUAUGAACUCGCUAAUGCAUUUCAGGGGAGCAGACCGCCGUGAGGCAGCCUGCACAAACCCCCACAUCCA
rnacentral:misc_RNA from 1 species